rnacentral:rRNA from 1 species
AUUGAACGCUGGCGGCAGGCCUAACACAUGCAAGUCGAGCGAGCGGCGGACGGGUGAGUACUGUCUGGGGAUCUGCCCGAUAGAGGGGGAUCACUAAUGGAAACGGUAGAUAAUACCGCAUACUAUCGGAUGAACCCAGAUGGGAUUAGCUAGUAGGUGGGGUAACGUCUCACCUAGGCGACGAUCUCUAGCUAGUCUGAGAGGAUUAUCAGCCACACUGGGUCUGAGACACGGCCCAGACUCCUACGGGAGGCAGCAGUGGGGAAUAGUGCACAAUGGGCGCAAGCCUGAUGCAGCCAUGCCGCGUGUAUGAAGAAGGCCUUCGGGUUGUAAAGUACUUUCAGCGGGGAGGCGUUAACCGCAGAAGAAGCACCGGCUAACUCCGUGCCAGCCGCCGCGGUAAUUC